rnacentral:rRNA from 1 species
GAAGGGGGCAAGCGUUAUUCGGAAUAACUGGGCGUAAAGAGCGCGUAGGUGGUUAUAUAAGUCAGUUGUUAAAUGUCACGGCCCAACCGUGAACCUGCGAUUGAUACUGUAUGACUAGAGGGCAGAAGAGAGAAGUGGAAUUCUCGGAGUAGCGGUAAAAUGCGUAGAUCUCGAGAGGAACACCGAUUGCGAAGGCAGCUUCUUGGUCUGUACCUGACACUCAAGCGCGAAAGCGUGGGGUAGCAAACAGGAUUAGAUACCCUGGUAGUCCACGCCGUAAACGAUGAUCACUAGAUGUAGGGAGAGCUUGCUCUUUCUGUGUCGAAGCUAACGCGUUAAGUGAUCCGCCUGGGGAGUACGGUCGCAAGAUUA